rnacentral:rRNA from 1 species
GAUGAACGCUGACAGAAUGCUUAACACAUGCAAGUCAACUUGAACUUCGGUUUGGGUGGCGGACGGGUGAGUAACGCGUAAAGAACUUGCCUCACAGAUAGGGACAACAUUUGGAAACGAAUGCUAAUACCUGAUAUUAUGAUUUUAGGGCAUCCUAGAAUUAUGAAAGCUAUAUGCGCUGUGGGAGAGCUUUGCGUCCCAUUAGCUAGUUGGAGAGGUAACGGCCCACCAAGGCGAUGAUGGGUAGCCGGCCUGAGAGGGUGAUCGGCCACAAGGGGACUGAGACACGGCCCUUACUCCUACGGGAGGCAGCAGUGGGGAAUAUUGGACAAUGGACCAAGAGUCUGAUCCAGCAAUUCUGUGUGCACGAUGAAGUUUUUCGGAAUGUAAAGUGCUUUCAGUUGGGAAGAAAAAAAUGACGGUACCAACAGAAGAAGUGACGGCUAAAUACGUGCCAGCAGCCGCGGUAAUACGUAUGUCACAAGCGUUAUCCGGAUUUAUUGGGCGUAAAGCGCGUCUAGGUGGUUAUGUAAGUCUGAUGUGAGAAUGCAGGGCUCAACUCUGUAUUGCGUUGGAAACUGUGUAACUAGAGUACUGGAGAGGUAAGCGGAACUACAAGUGUAGAGGUGAAAUUCGUAGAUAUUUGUAGGAAUGCCGAUGGGGAAGCCAGCUUACUGGACAGAUACUGACGCUGAAGCGCGAAAGCGUGGGUAGCAAACAGG